CUAGUUUAUACGUUAUAGCCAUAGGAUUUUGCUUUCAUUAUAGAAAUUAAAGUGUUCUAAUGAGAUUUUAAGAGCAAAAUCUUACGAGCUACUAGAUUAAAAAUCAAACGUCCAUGACGGAAAACAACUUAGAAAUUUUAUAUAAAAGUUACAAAGUAUGGGGCAAAUCAAAUAAGCAAAUGGUUUGAAAUGGUUUGAAAUGUUCAACGUUUAGAUAUGGGACCAAUUUGAAACGUUCAAAGCUAUCGUGACAUGAAAUUCUGUCACGUGACACUUAAACUGAUCAUUUUAUAGUUGAGUAGAAAAAUAAAUCACUUUAUGACAUUAAGUUGAAUGUCACGCGACUGUCUUGAUUUCAAAUCAUUCGUAAAAUGCAUUGAAAAUGCA